GAGGAACGCUGGCGGCGUGCUUAACACAUGCAAGUCGAACGGUGAAGCAGGAGCUUGCUCUUGUGGAUCAGUGGCGAACGGGUGAGUAACACGUGAGCAACCUGCCCCUGACUCUGGGAUAAGCGCUGGAAACGGCGUCUAAUACUGGAUAUGUGAUGUGACCGCAUGGUCUGCAUCUGGAAAGAAUUUCGGUUGGGGAUGGGCUCGGGGCCUAUCAGCUUGUUGGUGAGGUAAUGGCUCACCAAGGCGUCGACGGGUAGCCGGCCUGAGAGGGUCACCGGCCACGUGGGUACUGAGAGACGGGCCAGACUCCUACGGGAGGCUGCAGUAGUGAAUAUUGCACAAUGGGCGGAAGCCUGAUGCAGCAACGCCGCGUGAGGGAUGACGGCCUUCGGGUUGUAAACCUCUUUUAGCAGGGAAGAAGCGAAAGUGACGGUACCUGCAGAAAAAGCACCGGCUAACUACGUGCCAGCCGCCGCCGUAA
rnacentral:rRNA from 1 species